rnacentral:rRNA from 1 species
ACUACGGGUGGCAGCAGUGAGGAAUAUUGGUCAAUGGCCGAGAGGCUGAACCAGCCAAGUCGCGUGAGGGAAGACGGCCCUACAGGUUGUAAAACUCUUUUGUCGGGGAGCAAAGCGAGUCACGUGUGACUCCUUGAGAGUACCCGAAGAAAAAGCAUCGGAUAAAUCCGUGCCAGCAGCCGCGGUAAUACGGGGGGUGCGAGCGUUAUCCGGAUUUAUUGGGUUUAAAGGGUUUGCAGGCGGGGGGGCAAGUCAGCGGUCAAAUUGCUGGGCUCAACCCCGUACUGCCGUUGACAUUGCAGCCCUUGAGUGCGCGAGAAGUAUGCGGAAUGCGUGGUGUAGCGGUGAAAUGCAUAGAUAUCACGCAGAACUCCGAUUGCGAAGGCAGCAUACCGGCGCGCAACUGACGCUCAUGCACGAAAGCGUGGGUAUCGAACAGGAUUAGAUACCCCAGUAGUC